ensembl:lncRNA novel transcript
AUACCUGAAGGCAGAGGGCGACCCUUUGACGUCUCAGGGCCAUAUAUCAGUUCCCUAACAGUGAAGCCCACAACAAGCAAGAAUUUCUGACAUGACAUGGGAAAAGCUGAAGAAGUCAGUCUUUGGGGUGUGUUUUCAUCUAGGAGGUGGCUUGAGAUGGAUUCAUGGCAAAUCACAAUAAAUUAUUUAUCAGAUAAUAA